GAUUACUGGCAUGGGACACUGCACCUGGCGAGAAAAAUAUUUAUUUUGACUAACGGUUCGAAUUUUCAAUCUGCUCACUUAGCACAUUGUUUCUGGGUGCCUGGGGAGGGAGAAUAUCAUAGUGGGGAGUAUAUGGUGGAAUAAAGCUGCUCACCUUGUGGUAGGCAGCUCAGGAUAUACCCUUCAAGGACAUACCCACAGUGACCUACUCCCAUCAGAUAGGUCCCCCCUCUCCAAGUUUCCACCACUUCCCAGUAGUACCACCAGCUGGGAUCACACUUUCAACAUGUGAGUCUUCAGGGGACGCUUCAGAUCCAAAGUAAUAGGUCCCUGGAGAUGGCAAGAGGCCCCUGGGUCCUUCCCCCAUACCUUGCUCUGUGUACCUCAUUUGGCUGUUCAUCUGUCACAACUAGUAAAUGCAAAAAGUGUUUCUUUGAGUUCUGUGAAUUAUCCUGGCAAAUUGCCAAGGGGGCGGGGUGUUGAGAACUUUCAUUUAUAGAUAAGUCUGUUAGAAGCACUAGGACUUUACUGGCAUCUGAGGUGACAGACAGUCUUGUGGAACUGAGCCCUUAAUCUGUAGGAUCUGACACUUUGGUAAAAUAAUGUCAGAAUUGAAUUGAGUAAUAGGGUACCCAUUGGGUGCCUGCUGAAUUGCUUAGAGUGUGGGGAAGAAAAUCUCAUAUCUGGUCACAGAAGUUAUGUAUUGUUUGAGGAGAGCAGGAAACAGGGAGUGUGGUGUUCUUCAGAAUUGGUGUCAGAAAUGCAACAGGGAAAAAGUCUGCUUUUCCUGAAAGCGUUGACUCCUGGCUUGAGCUUCCUUUGCUACCUUAAACUUUGGGUCAGAUUCCUGCUCAGCACUGCACAUAGACAUAUAUUAAUCAUUUAAGGAGUGUCUAAAAACUGGUAAUACUAUGUAGAGAGCCCUAAAUUUACUUCACCUCUGCAAGGCUGAAGACACCAAGAUAAGAGUAAUUAAGAUAUUUUCAAAAUUGCAGGAACAGCAAUUCUUGCAGUAAGAUCACCCUAUGAUAGAAACAGCCCUCUAAGUGGGAACAGUUACCCCAUGAUGGGAAUUGACGCCAUGCACCAAGGGGGGGCAGUCAUCUCAUGAUGGGACAUGAACUGCCCCCUCACACAACACCCGUUUCCCUGGCGCCAGCAGAACCAUUGCAGAACCACCUUCGAGAAGGCCUUCCUGUCACCAAGAGAACCAAGGAAGAUGGAGACAACUAAAGGUGCAUCUCUUUAAAUAACCCAACAGGAGACAGAAAUACCUAGGUGAAAUCUGGGAUGAUUGUGCACCCCAUAGUACUCAGCCACCUUGCACAGUAGGGGAUAAGAUCCUGAUUGGGACCACUCUGGGUGUGCCUGUUCACCAGCUACCUGAUUUUGCAAGACCUUCAUUAAAGUCUGGUUUCUACUGCA